rnacentral:rRNA from 1 species
GCUAUACAUGCAAGUCGAGGGGUAGAGCUAGCUUGCUGGCUUGAGACCGGCGCACGGGUGCGUAACGCGUAUGCAACCUACCCUUAUCUGGGGGAUAGCCCGGAGAAAUCCGGAUUAACACCGCAUAAAAUCACAGUAUUGCAUAAUACAAUGAUCAAAUAUUCAUAGGAUAGGGAUGGGCAUGCGUGUCAUUAGCUAGUUGGCGGGGUAACGGCCCACCAAGGCGACGAUGACUAGGGGAUCUGAGAGGAUGGCCCCCCACACUGGUACUGAGACACGGACCAGACUCCUACGGGAGGCAGCAGUAAGGAAUAUUGGUCAAUGGGGGCAACCCUGAACCAGCCAUGCCGCGUGCAGGAAGACUGCCCUAUGGGUUGUAAACUGCUUUUAUCCGGGAAUAAACCUUCCUACGUGUAGGGAGCUGAAUGUACCGGAAGAAUAAGGAUCGGCUAACUCCGUGCCAGCAGCCGCGGUAAUACGGAGGAUCCAAGCGUUAUCCGGAUUUAUUGGGUUUAAAGGGUGCGUAGGCGGCCUGUUAAGUCAGGGGUGAAAGACGGUAGCUCAACUAUCGCAGUGCCCUUGAUACUGACGGGCUUGAAUGGACUAGAGGUAGGCGGAAUGAGACAAGUAGCGGUGAAAUGCAUAGAUAUGUCUCAGAACACCGAUUGCGAAGGCAGCUUACUAUGGUUUAAUUGACGCUGAGGCACGAAAGCGUGGGGAUCAAACAGGAUUAGAUACCCUGGUAGUCCACGCCCUAAACGAUGAACACUCGCUGUUGGCGGUACACAGUCAGCGGCUAAGCGAAAGCGUUAAGUGUUCCACCUGGGGAGUACGCCCGCAAGGGUGAAACUCAAAGGAAUUGACGGGGGCCCGCACAAGCGGAGGAGCAUGUGGUUUAAUUCGAUGAUACGCGAGGAACCUUACCCGGGCUUGAAAGUUAGUGAAUGUACCAGAGAUGGUACAGUGAGCAAUCACACGAAACUAGUGCUGCAUGGCUGUCGUCAGCUCGUGCCGUGGAG